rnacentral:rRNA from 1 species
AUUGAACGCUGGCGGCAGGCCUAACACAUGCAAGUCGAACGGUAACAGGAAGAAGCUUGCUUCUUUGCUGACGAGGGGCGGACGGGUGAGCAAUGUCUGGGAAACCGCCUGAUGGAGGGGGAUAACUACUGGAAACGGUAGCUAAUACCGCAUAACGUCGCAAGACCAAAGAGGGGGACCUUCGGGCCUCUUGCCAUCGGAUGUGCCCAGAUGGGAUUAGCUAGUAGGUGGGGUAACGGCUCACCUAGGCGGCGAUGGCUAGCUGGUCUGAGAGGAGGACCAGCCACACUGGAACUGAGACACGGUCCAGGCUCCUACGGGAGGGAGCAGUGGGGAAUAUUGCACAAUGGGCGCAAGCCUGAUGCAGCCAUGCCGCGUGUAUGGAGAAGGCCUUCGGGUUGUAAAGUACUUUCAGCGGGGAGGAAGGGAGUAAAGUUAAUACCUUUGCUCAUUGACGUUACCCGCAGAAGAAGCACCGGCUAACUCCGUG